CUCCUAGACCCAUUUAUGAGCUGACUACCAGUGGGGAAGGAUCUCUCUCUCUUCAGAAGAUACACUUCACUGGAGCAUCCUGAGUGAGCCCAUGACAUGGGCAAAGGAACAAGGCUGCUGGAAGGAGUCAAAUGCUGAUUAUUUGACAACAUAUGGGAUAUCAGACCGUUCUUUGUGAAAAAGUCUACAUGUUAACUUUUCUGCUUUCAUUUCCUGCUUUCAGACCUGCACAUGCAAGAUAACAAGAAAGAAUUACAUAUACUUUUUACAUGUUUGUUUUAACCUCUUAACAAAUGACAUGCUGUAGGUAACUCCUGUCCUGGACUGUCACAACAAACAGACACAAACCAACAUGACACUUAUACAGAUGUACCCUGUCACAAGGCUGCCAGAGACUUCCUAACUGAGCUAAUGCUCCAUUUUCAGCACCUGCAGUAUUACCUCUGUGUUCUGUCUGAAUGUAAAUGGUUCCUUUCUGCAUCUGCAAAUAUAAUUCUUUACGAUUUUUUUUUACUAUUAUUCUCCUAGAGCCACAAUUAACUACCUUAGGAUUUUACACAAAUUAGAGUGUUACAUCUGCCCAGUUUUUCCACAAACAUCACCACCUUUAUGUUCCUUUUCAUUUUUUAUCCAUAUUUCUCUAUGUUGGCUUGGGAAUUGAGGAAAAUUCUUACCUACACUGUAUGCAGCACCUUGGUUGCCUGCUGGAGAGUUACAGCUGGUAAGCACAUACCAAACACAUGGUUUAGCAAAAGCAAAGAGAAGCCCAUGAUGUAUUUUCCUAAUGUUAAGGAGCCACCCUUCUAGAGAUGUUGGCUCCAGACAGCCAGAGACAGUGAAAUGGCUCUUUUCCAACCCUGUUUUCAGCAAUCACCUGCCCAGGGAUUAGCUCCUGAUCGAACUCCAGGUUCAAGCACUCAGGACUGUUCUUAGAAAGGAGGAGAGCUACGCACGGAUUCCCUGGCAAGUUCAAACAGUGCCUCCCAAAUGCUAACAAGUGACUCAGCCCAGGAAACUCAGCACUGGCCAAGGCUUCAGGGAAGGAACCAUCAAUGAGGCACAGCUUGGGAAUGUCCAUUUCUAGAGCCUCACAGGAGAGUACUGUUUAAUAUGCAGAAGCCUGGCUGGACUUGAGAAGAUGGACAGUGCACCUUCCUUGGCAGCUUUUGGUCUGCGUACAGCUUGAGGUCUUUUUCAGUUUUAUCAGACGCCUCUCUCUGAUAACUGACGCUCCUGACUUUACUGUGGAUAGUGGAGCUUUGAUCAGCAGAGCUUUGCUAGGCAAACUCCCAUGUGAUUUAACAUGAGCCAUUUUCACCCAGGGCUCUCAUGGUGCAGACACUGAGUUGCUUGUGUGCCCCUCUUACUAUGAAGAUAGAACGUAUCCAUACAGGAUUCUCCGACAAAACUUCUAGCUACAUGGAUACACUUCUGGAACAGGCCUAUCCUGAUGCUUGGAUAAAAACAAGUGAAGGAAAAAA